rnacentral:rRNA from 1 species
UACGUAGGGCGCAAGCGUUGUCCGGAAUUAUUGGGCGUAAAGAGCUCGUAGGCGGCUUGUCACGUCGGGUGUGAAAGCCCGGGGCUUAACCCCGGGUCUGCAUUCGAUACGGGCAGGCUAGAGUGUGGUAGGGGAGAUCGGAAUUCCUGGUGUAGCGGUGAAAUGCGCAGAUAUCAGGAGGAACACCGGUGGCGAAGGCGGAUCUCUGGGCCAUUACUGACGCUGAAGCGCGAAAGCUAGGGGAGCGAACGGG